rnacentral:rRNA from 1 species
GUUGCAGGGUAUAGACCCGAAACCCGGUGAUCUAGCCAUGGGCAGGUUGAAGGUUGGGUAACACUAACUGGAGGACCGAACCGACUAAUGUUGAAAAAUUAGCGGAUGACCUGUGGCUGGGGGUGAAAGGCCAAUCAAACCGGGAGAUAGCUGGUUCUCCCCGAAAGCUAUUUAGGUAGCGCCUCGUGAAUUCAUCUCCGGGGGUAGAGCACUGUUUCGGCUAGGGGGCCAUCCCGGCUUACCAACCCGAUGCAAACUGCGAAUACCGGAGAAUGUUAUCACGGGAGACACACGGCGGGUGCUAACGUCCGUCGUGAAGAGGGAAACAACCCAGACCGCCAGCUAAGGUCCCAAAGUCAUGGUUAAGUGGGAAACGAUGUGGGAAGGCCCAGACAGCCAGGAUGUUGGCUUAGAAGCAGCCAUCAUUUAAAGAAAGCGUAAUAGCUCACUGGUCGAGUCGGCCUGCGCGGAAGAUGUAACGGGGCUAAACCAUGCACCGAAGCUGCGGCAGCGAACGUAUCACCCAAGACAACUUUACGGAGUUGACGAUUGACGGAGCGAAGCGACGUCAAAGCGUUCAUUAAAGUCGAGUUGGCUUAGGGAUACGUUCGUUGGGUAGGGGAGCGUUCUGUAAGCCUG